rnacentral:lncRNA from 1 species
CAAGGAGUCUCUGUACCCUGCCUUGUCUGCCUGGGCAAGGCUACUAGGGAUGUCAUGCUGGCAAUGACUUCAAUAGUGGUCUAACGUAAAAUGUCUUGUGGUCCUCUCAGUCCCUGAGAAAGUAGUGUUCCCACAGGCCUAUUAUGCAAAAGCUGGCUACCACCAUCAUUAUUCCUAAUGAGCAAAAGUACCACUGUUUUUAGGCUGACCAUAGAGGUACCUAUAGAAGUAGGGCAGUGCUAGCAAGCUGGUCAUCUCUACUGUUGUACAGGAUUAGGCACCUAAAAUCUACUGAAAUCCCAUCUUUCAGAUCUAUUGGAAUCUUAAUCUGGAUGUAGGAAAUUAUAUACAGCCCCAGCUGUUUCUCCAGGUAUGCUGAAGUGCCCUGACACGUGGUAGCAGGCAAUAUUUUCAUGAAAACAAUCCUUGCUUGGAAACAACUUGAAGAUCGGUCAGAUGGCCAUCCUCCUUUCAGCUCACCAGACUUCAGCUAACACCCUGUUCUCCACUGCAGCAACAAACUGAGUAACACUAAGAAGAAACAGCAUGAGGUGCUUCUAAGGGACUAUCACAAAACAGCAGGAUCUGUCACAGGCAAACUAAGAAACAACUACCAGCUACAAGGUGCAAGCUAAGCAACAUAAAUACACAGAAUAAGCUUAGAAAGGAGAUAAAAGAGGAAUACGUGGGUCCCCUGAGCCUAUUUUUUCUGCAGAUGCUGAGAACGGUAAGAACAAAAACCAAAACAACACAAAUGAAAGAAAGAAAAAAAAAGCCAAAGCAACUUCAAGAGCAUCUGAACACAUUACUAUUGCUUUUUCUUAGCAGCACUUUGUGAAUUCAAGUGUUCAUUUAAGGGAUCCAUCAGAGAUGGGCUGAGAGGAAUGUUUUGGACCAUGUAAGGUUUUUAAUU